rnacentral:rRNA from 1 species
AGUGAACGCUGGCGGUAGGCCUAACACAUGCCAGUCGAACGGCAGCACAGUAAGAGCUUGCUCUUACGGGUGGCGAGUGGCGGACGGGUGAGGAAUACAUCGGAAUCUACUUUUUCGUGGGGGAUAACGUAGGGAAACUUACGCUAAUACCGCAUACGACCUACGGGUGAAAGCAGGGGAUCUACGGACCUUGCGCGAUUGAAUGAGCCGAUGUCGGAUUAGCUAGUUGGCGGGGUAAAGGCCCACCAAGGCGACGAUCCGUAGCUGGUCUGAGAGGAUGAUCAGCCACACUGGAACUGAGACACGGUCCAGACUCCUACGGGAGGCAGCAGUGGGGAAUAUUGGACAAUGGGCGCAAGCCUGAUCCAGCCAUACCGCGUGGGUGAAGAAGGCCUUCGGGUUGUAAAGCCCUUUUGUUGGGAAAGAAAAGCAGCAGGUUAAUACCCCGCUGUUCUGACGGUACCCAAAGAAUAAGCACCGGCUAACUUCGUG